rnacentral:rRNA from 1 species
GAUGAACGCUGGCGGCGUGCCUAAUACAUGCAAGUAGAACGCUGAAGGAGGAGCUUGCUCUUCUGGAUGAGUUGCGAACGGGUGAGUAACGCGUAGGUAACCUGCCUGGUAGCGGGGGAUAACUAUUGGAAACGAUAGCUAAUACCGCAUGACAACAGUUAUUGCAUGAUAACUGUUUAAAAGGGGCAACUGCUCCACUACCAGUUGGACCUGCGUUGUAUUAGCUAGUUGGUGAGGUAACGGCUCACCAAGGCGACGAUACAUAGCCGACCUGAGAGGGUGAUCGGCCACCCUGGGACUGAGACACGGCCCAGACUCCUACGGGAGGCAGCAGUAGGGAAUCUUCGGCAAUGGACGGAAGUCUGACCGAGCAACGCCGCGUGAGGGAAGAAGGUUUUCGGAUCGUAAAGCUCUGUUGUAAGAGAAGAACGAGUGUGAGAGUGGAAAGUUCACACUGUGACGGUAUCUUACCAGAAAGAGACGGCUAACUACGUG